AACGAACGCUGGCGGCAUGCCUAACACAUGCAAGUCGAACGAGACCUUCGGGUCUAGUGGCGCACGGGUGCGUAACGCGUGGGAACCUGCCCUUAGGUUCGGAAUAACUCCCCGAAAGGGGUGCUAAUACCGGAUAAUGUCUUCGGACCAAAGAUUUAUCGCCUUUGGAUGGGCCCGCGUUGGAUUAGCUAGUUGGUAGGGUAAAAGCCUACCAAGGCGACGAUCCAUAGCUGGUCUGAGAGGAUGAUCAGCCACACUGGGACUGGGACACGGCCCAGACUCCUACGGGAGGCAGCAGUGGGGAAUAUUGGACAAUGGGCGAAAGCCUGAUCCAGCAAUGCCGCGUGAGUGAUGAAGGCCUUAGGGUUGUAAAGCUCUUUUACCCGGGAUGAUAAUGACGGUACCGGGAGAAUAAGCUCCGGCUAACUCCGUG
rnacentral:rRNA from 1 species